CUGCUGCCUUCCGUAGGAGUUUGGGCCGUGUCUCAGUCCCAAUGUGGCCGGUCACCCUCUCAGGUCGGCUACUGAUCGUCGCUUUGGUGGGCCGUUACCCCGCCAACUGGCUAAUCAGGCGCGGGCCCAUCCCAUACCACCGGAGUUUUUCACACCGGGCCAUGCGGCCCUGUGCGCUUAUGCGGUGUUAGCAGUCAUUUCUAACUGUUAUCCCCCUGUAUGGGGCAGGUUGCCCACGCGUUACUCACCCGUCCGCCACU
rnacentral:rRNA from 1 species